CCCCAGAGCUCCAUCUCAAACAUGGGUUUGGGCUCAGAGCCAUGCAAAUGAUGGGACAGAAAACGAGUUUAAGAAGUAAUAGUUAAGGCUAUCUCCAGCUUAGCAGGCCAGACACUGCUUUGUGGGACCUCUGAGCUAUCCCCCUUUUACCAAGUGUGGAGACAGAGGUGACCUUGGCGAAAUCAAGAUGGAGAUGGCCUUGGGAAGCCGGGGAAAAGUACUGACUUGGAAAGGUGAUCAGUUUCCGCAGCUGGUCGUCUGUAAUGUGUACCAUGCCCCAGGCUCUGUCCUAUAAAGGUCACUUGCUGCAUACUCAGGACAAA